rnacentral:rRNA from 1 species
AGAGUUUGAUCAUGGCUCAGAACGAACGCUGGCGGCGUGCCUAACACAUGCAAGUCGAACGAGAAAGUGGGCUUCGGCCUAUGAGUAAAGUGGCAGACGGGUGAGUAACACGUGGGUAACCUGCCCGGAGGUGGGGGAUAACCCUCCGAAAGGAGGGCUAAUACCGCAUGAUAUCUCGGGGUCUUCGGACUCCGCGAUCAAAGCCAGCCUCUCCCUGGAAGCUGGUGCCACCGGAGGGGCCCGCGCCCCAUUAGCUAGUUGGUGAGGUAACGGCUCACCAAGGCGACGAUGGGUAGCCGGCCUGAGAGGGUGAUCGGCCACACUGGAACCGAAACACGGUCCAGACUCCUACGGGAGGCAGCAGUGAGGAAUCUUGCGCAAUGGGCGAAAGCCUGACGCAGCGACGCCGCGUGGAGGACGAAGGCCUUCGGGUCGUAAAGCUCUGUCGGAGGGAACGAAUGCUCUUGAGGUUAACAGCCUCGGGAAGUGACGGUACCCUCAAAGAGAC